GGGGAUGUAGCUCAAAUGGUAGAGCACUCGCUUAGCAUGCGAGAGGUACGGGGAUCGAUACCUCGCAUCUCCA
rnacentral:tRNA from 1 species